rnacentral:rRNA from 1 species
UGAGAGGGUGACCGGCCACAUUGGGACUGAGACACGGCCCAGACUCCUACGGGAGGCAGCAGUGGGGAAUAUUGCACAAUGGAGGAAACUCUGAUGCAGCGACGCCGCGUGAAGGAUGAAGUAUUUCGGUAUGUAAACUUCUAUCAGCAGGGAAGAAAAUGACGGUACCUGACUAAGAAGCCCCGGCUAACUACGUGCCAGCAGCCGCGGUAAUACGUAGGGGGCAAGCGUUAUCCGGAUUUACUGGGUGUAAAGGGAGCGUAGACGGCACGGCAAGCCAGAUGUGAAAGCCCGGGGCUCAACCCCGGGACUGCAUUUGGAACUGCUGAGCUAGAGUGUCGGAGAGGCAAGUGGAAUUCCUAGUGUAGCGGUGAAAUGCGUAGAUAUUAGGAGGAACACCAGUGGCGAAGGCGGCUUGCUGGACGAUGACUGACGUUGAGGCUCGAAAGCGUGGGG